CUUAGACAAACCAUCAGAUUGGAGGACAAAUCCUUUCCAAGGGGGAGGGGAUGAUGACUUGGGUCCAAGCCCAUCAUGGACCCAUCACUAGAAGCAUGGAAACUCCAACAAGAGCAUGAAUAAAUUGACACCAAGAGAAGGAGCAAAUAUGUCCACAUGACUAUCAAAGUUGCUAGUUGCACCACCACUCUUUGCUAAGCACACCCACGGCAAGAUCCUUCUUCAAUCAGCACCAGAUGACGUGAUGCUUUGUUUUAGCACAUUUUAAAUCAGCCUUUCUAGAAGGCCUUCACCUAUUACACAUGGGGUGCUACAUGGCAAUAGAUCCACUCUUUACGGAUCAUAGCAACCAUGCUUACAGCCGAAAGUCCUCCCUGAGCUUCUCCACAUCUCAACUAGCUUCCUUCCAAUGGAAGGUCGUCUGAGCAAGGCUCCACCACCACCACAACUCACUUCCACCGCCAACUUCCUUCACCGAAACGCAUACUUCAUUCUGCGUGUUUCUCUGUCAAUUCAUUCUCCAUUCACUAAAGCAUAUCAUCUCCACCGCAACUCACAGAUGCUCUCCGCAUCUCGCUGCAGCAUCUCAACUUUUGCAACCGCAAUUCAUUAACACCGCAUCUCAUCUCUGCC
rnacentral:lncRNA from 1 species